rnacentral:rRNA from 1 species
UACAGAGGGCUCGAGCGUUGUUCGGAUUUAUUGGGCGUAAAGGGCGCGUAGGCGGCUGUGCAAGUCAAAGGUGAAAUCCCUCGGCUCAACUGAGGAACUGCCUUUGAAACUGUACGGCUUGAGGCCGGGAGGGGGUAGCGGAAUUCCCAGUGUAGCGGUGAAAUGCGUAGAUACUGGGAGGAACACCAGUGGCGAAGGCGGCUACCUGGACCAGUUCUGACGCUGAGGCGCGAAAGCGUGGGUAGCAAACAGG